AAAGGCUGGACAAGGCAGUCUUUGGCGCAAUUUGGGCGUUUCACAGGUCUGGGCUUUAUUUUAGCCCCAGAAAUACAUCAGGAAUUUGACCCAUCCCUACCAGAGAAACUAUUUGAUGGGAUACUGGCCAGUCAGGAGUACAGCGAUGCUCAAGACAAAGAGGACUUCAUCAUGACGUCUCUUGCUGUCAGCCAGCAACAAAAAAGAAGCCAUCGAGAGGGCCACAGUUGGGCAGACGAGCAAUGCAUUAUGGGCAGCAUAUCGCAAGAAGAGGAUCACAGCGAGCAACUUUGGUUUGGUUUUGUCUGCAGUCAGAAGACAGUCUUUCCCACCUUCAUUGUUCAAGACACUGCUGGGAGAAUACAACCCCAAACAAGGAGCUCGUGCAUGUGAUUGGG